ACUGUGGUGUUAAUUUGCCGCAAAGAAUAUAUAUUUUUUUUAAAUUGGUCCAUCUUUCAAGUAUAACGCAGGCUUUAGCAGGCUUAAAGCAAUAAUGUCCACUGAAUGGUUCAAGUCAUUUUUUAAACGCGGCGAUAUUUUUGUCCUCGAUCGCGGGUUUGAAAAUGUAAAAUCUGACUUAGAAGCUGCCGGUUUUCGAGUCUACAUACCUUGUUUAAAAAAAGGUAACGCUCAGCUUUCAACCAAGGACGCCAACGAGAGCAGAUUAUGCACCAAAGUUCGUUGGGUGGUUGAAGUAGUGAAUAGUUCUAUUAAAAGAUUUCGACACUUUCGUUCAUCGGUAAUUUCAAGUGAAGUGCCGCAUUUGUUUGAUGACUAUCGCAUAGUGUCUGCGAUACAUAAUUUAUAUUUUCAACGCCUGCAAAGUGAUGGUGACGACGCAAAAAUUGCCAAUCAAAUGCUCCAAAAAUUAAAUGAGCCGAAUAUUGUGCAACAAAUUGUUGAGGACGAGAAAUGGCUCCGAAAAAAAGUAGUUUUUGAAAACCUGACCACAGAUCAUUUUAAACAAUUAGAGCAGUGGAGGAGCGAAGAUCUUGACACCCUCUCGGGAAGAUAUCAAAUUGGACUUGCAGCAAGUUAUAUCGCAGACCAUUUUGCUAAUGGAAAAUAUUGCUUUCAAGUGACGAAGGAUAACUUUUUGCCAGAUUUUCAAAAAUAUGAUAUUUCCGUAAAUUCGCCUCUUUUUCUUCGAUCGCGGAUCCUAUCGAGGCAUAAAUCAAAAAAAGAAUAUCAUAUAUAUAUAUUAAUCGACACCAGUAAAAAAUCCAACGAGGCCAUUAAAGCAAAUUACUGCACUUGUAAGAACGGUGCGCGUACCAUCAAUCCUUGUGCUCACGUCGUAACUAUACUGUGGUAUUUGUUUUACGGGCGUUAUCACAAAAAACCAGCGCCUUCAGCCUUUUUGAACGAGUGCUUCCCUCUCAGAAAAGUCGAUUUGGCUUUCAGACGACGAAGAUGAGGAUGAAAAUGCGGAUCACACUGCCGAUGAUCCUAUGGAUUGUGGUGAUGAUUAAUUCGGUGAGAUUCCACUCUUCUAUUAUUAUAUUAAUAUAAUUUUAAUCAUACUUGUACAACAUAAUAGGGUAUAUUGUGUGCAUUUAUUUGUUCAAAUGAUCAUUAAAGGUAGUC
rnacentral:lncRNA from 1 species